rnacentral:rRNA from 1 species
CGGACGGGUGAGUAACGCGUGAGAAUCUGGCUUCAGGUCUGGGACAACCACUGGAAACGGUGGCUAAUACCGGAUGUGCCGAAAGGUGAAAGGUUAACUGCCUGAAGAUGAGCUCGCGUCUGAUUAGCUAGUUGGUAGUGUAAUGGACUACCAAGGCGACGAUCAGUAGCUGGUCUGAGAGGACGAUCAGUCACACUGGGACUGAGACACGGCCCAGACUCCUACGGGAGGCAGCAGUGGGGAAUUUUCCGCAAUGGGCGAAAGCCUGACGGAGCAAUACCGCGUGAGGGAGGAAGGCUCUUGGGUCGCAAACCUCUUUUCUCAGGGAAGAACACAAUGACGGUACCUGAGGAAUAAGCAUCGGCUAACUCCGUGCCAGCAGCCGCGGUAAUACGGAGGAUGCAAGCGUUAUCCGGAAUGAUUGGGCGUAAAGCGUCCGCAGGUGGCGAUGUAAGUCUGCUGUUAAAGCGUCUAGCUCAACUAGAUAAAAGCAGUGGAAACUACUUACGCUAGAGUGCGUUCGGGGCAGAGGGAAUUCCUGGUGUAGCGGUGAAAUGCGUAGAGAUCAGGAAGAACACCAGUGGCGAAGGCGCUCUGCUAGGCCGCAACUGACACUGAGGGACGAAAGCUAGGGGAGCGAAUGGGAUUAGAUACCCCAGUAGUC